GAUGAAGAACGCAGCGAAUUGCGAUAAGUAAUGUGAAUUGCAGAUUUUCAGUGAAUCAUCGAAUCUUUGAACGCACCUUGCACCCUUUGGCAUUCCGAAGGGUAUGCUCGUUUGAGUGUCAUUGUACUCUCACACUUCCGAUCUUUGGAUUGGGAGCGGUGGACUUGGGUGUUGCUGCUUACUGUGGCUCACCUCAAAUCGAUUCGUGCACCUCUUGGUUGGACAUAGUACGGCGUGAUAAGUGUCUUCGCCGGCACCUCAGUAGAGGGUGGCUGAUCGGGAGCUCUGCUUCAAACCGUCCUCGGACAACAACUGACAACUUGACCUCAAAUCGAGUAGGACUACCCGCUGAACUUAAGCAUAUCAAUAAGCGGAGGA
rnacentral:misc_RNA from 1 species